CUGCUGCCUUCCGUAGGAGUCUGGUCCGUGUCUCAGUACCAGUGUGGGGGACCUUCCUCUCAGAACCCCUAGACAUCGUCGCCUUGGUGGGCCGUUGCCCCGCCAACUAGCUAAUGUCACGCAUGCCCAUCCGUUGCCGGAAUCGCUCCCUUUGGCCGCAGGGCCAUGCAGCCCCGCGGCGUUACGCGGUAUUAGACGGGAUUUCUCCCGAUUAUCCCCCCUGCAACGGGCAGGUCGCAUACGCGUUACUCACCCGUGCGCCGG
rnacentral:rRNA from 1 species